GAUGAACGCUGGCGGCGUGCCUAAUACAUGCAAGUCGAGCGAACAGACGAGGAGUUUGCUCCUCUGACGUUAGCGGCGGACGGGUGAGUAACACGUGGAUAACCUACCUAUAAGACUGGGAUAACUUCGGGAAACCGGAGCUAAUACCGGAUAAUAUAUUGAACCGCAUGGUUCAAUAGUGAAAGACGGUUUUGCUGUCACUUAUAGAUGGAUCCGCGCCGCAUUAGCUAGUUGGUAAGGUAACGGCUUACCAAGGCAACGAUGCGUAGCCGACCUGAGAGGGUGAUCGGCCACACUGGAACUGAGACACGGUCCAGACUCCUACGGGAGGCAGCAGUAGGGAAUCUUCCGCAAUGGGCGAAAGCCUGACGGAGCAACGCCGCGUGAGUGAUGAAGGUCUUCGGAUCGUAAAACUCUGUUAUUAGGGAAGAACAAAUGUGUAAGUAACUAUGCACGUCUUGUCGGUACCUAAUCAGAAGGCCACGGCUAACUACGUG
rnacentral:rRNA from 1 species